rnacentral:rRNA from 1 species
GACGAACGCUGGCGGCGUGCUUAACACAUGCAAGUCGAGCGGUAAGGCCCUUUCGGGGGUACACGAGCGGCGAACGGGUGAGUAACACGUGGGUGACCUGCCUUUAGCUCUGGGAUAAGCCUGGGAAACUGGGUCUAAUACCGGAUAUGACUCCGCGGUGCAUGCUGUGGGGUGGAAAGCCUUGUGCGGCUGGAGAUGGGCCCGCGGCCUAUCAGCUUGUUGGUGGGGUGANGGCCUACCAAGGCGACGACGGGUAGCCGGCCUGAGAGGGCGACCGGCCACACUGGGACUGAGACACGGCCCAGACUCCUACGGGAGGCAGCAGUGGGGAAUCUUGCGCAAUGGGC